UACGGGGGGGGUAAGCGUUGUUCGGAAUUACUGGGCGUAAAGGGUUUGUAGGUGGCUUGCUAAGUCAGACGUGAAAUCCCUCAGCUUAACUGGGGAACUGCGUCUGAUACUGGCGAGCUUGAGUGCAGGAGAGGAACGCGGAAUUCCAGGUGUAGCGGUGAAAUGCGCAGAUAUCAGGAGGAACACCGGUGGCGAAGGCGGGUCUCUGGGCCGAUACUGACGCUGAGGAGCGAAAGCGUGGGGAGCGAACAGG
rnacentral:rRNA from 1 species